AUCACGCAAACACGUUUUGUGUUGACUGCUGCAGGCCGAAGAGCAGUUUGAUCACUAACUCAACUUACUCUGUUGGAGGCGGUAAAUCCCUCCACAAAAUUCCUGCACGAAGCAUAUCAUCGGUAUCAGCUGUGACGAGAUAAAAAAUUAGCGGGCAUAAAUAAAUGUCAGACAUGGGACGCACCAAGAAGAAGGUCUGCAUUGUAGGAAGUGGAAAUUGGGGAUCAGCGAUAGCUAAAAUUGUUGGAGCUAACACCGUUAAAUUCAAUAAUAAAUUCGAGGAGAGGGUAACCAUGUACGUUUACGAGGAGAUGAUUAACGGAAGAAAAUUGACAGAAAUUAUCAACCAGGAACACGAAAAUGUCAAAUAUCUACCCGGUCACAAACUUCCUGAGAAUGUCGUCGCGGUUCCUGACCUCAUUGAGGCGGCGAAAGAUGCAGAUUUUCUGAUCUUUGUUAUCCCCCAUCAAUUCAUUCGUACACUAUGUGCAACGAUGCUGGGCAAAAUUAAACCAACAGCCAUUGGAUUAUCACUGAUUAAGGGCUUUGAUCAAGGCGAGGGACAGUCCAUCGAACUCAUAUCAAAAAUCAUUGAAAAGAAUCUGAAAAUUCAGUGCUAUGUUCUAAUGGGUGCAAAUUUAGCAAAUGAAGUAGCCGAAGGAAAAUUCUGUGAGACUACAAUAGGCUGUAAAGACAAGCGUACCGCUCCACUUUUAAGAGACAUGAUACAAACGGAAAACUUCCGGGUUGUGGUCGUAGAAGAUGCCGAAGCUGUGGAAGUCUGCGGGGCAUUAAAAAACAUCGUUGCCUGCGCUGCGGGUUUCGUUGAUGGUCUUGGGCUAGGUGAUAAUACAAAAGCUGCGAUUAUUAGGCUGGGACUAAUGGAGAUGGUUAAAUUCGUUGACACAUUUUUUGGGGGUUCGAAACUCUCAACAUUUUUCGAAAGCUGCGGCGUUGCAGAUCUGAUCACAACUUGCUACGGUGGUAGGAAUCGAAGGGUUUGCGAACAGUUUGUGAAAACUGGAAAGACCAUAAAGCAGCUGGAGGAUGAACUUUUGGCUGGUCAGAAACUUCAGGGACCAGCGACAGCAGAUGAAGUAUUCGCGAUGCUAACAAGUCGUGGUGUGACAGAAAAAUUCCCACUUUUUACCGCGGUACAUCGCGUUUGCAUUGCUGAUCUAAAACCAACGGAUUUGAUCGACCAGAUUCGCAGCCAUCCUGAGCAUGUGUUCGCACCCAAAGCUUUGUACAUGUAUUGAAAAAAUUCCUCAACCCUCAUCAAGACUCAAGUGGAAUUAACAGACCUUGUGCAUGCUUAAAUGAUUUUUUAAUACACAUUUUCUUCAUACAAUAAGCUAUGAAUUUUUCGAAGACCAGGAUGAGACUGGAGGGUGUCAUCGAAGAUGAAGAUGAAGCGGUUGCACCUUAGGAUCCAGACAGCAGGUCGAAUAGCUUAUUUUAAAUUCUAGAAAAUUAAUAAAAUGAAUCUGAAAGGAAUUUGUCGGAAGGAAAGAAAUUCACUACUGUAAAUACUGUAAUUUAAUAUACUUUGUGUAUACAUAAUACAUUAGUUCAAUAUCAUAUUUAGACGAAUAAAUGACUUCGAACUCGUUGGUACUCAGA